rnacentral:rRNA from 1 species
UACGUAGGGGGCGAGCGUUGUCCGGAUUUAUUGGGCGUAAAGAGCUCGUAGGCGGCCAGCCAGGUCCGUUGUGAAAACUCGAGGCUCAACCUCGAGAUGUCGAUGGAAACCGUCUGGCUAGAGUCCGGAAGAGGAGUGUGGAAUUCCUGGUGUAGCGGUGAAAUGCGCAGAUAUCAGGAAGAACACCUAUGGCGAAGGCAGCACUCUGGGACGGUACUGACGCUGAGACGCGAAAGCGUGGGGAGCGAACAGG